CCUACGGGGUGCAGCAGUCGAGAAUCAUUCACAAUGGGGGAAACCCUGAUGGUGCGACACCGCGUGGGGGAAUGAAGGUCUUCGGAUUGUAAACCCCUGUCAUGUGGGAGCAAAUUAAAAAGAUAGUACCACAAGAGGAAGAGACGGCUAACUCUGUGCCAGCAGCCGCGGUAAUACAGAGGUCGCAAGCGUUGUUCGGAAUCACUGGGCGUAAAGCGUGCGUAGGCUGUUUCGUAAGUCGUGUGUGAAAGGCGCGGGCUCACCCCACGGACGGAACAUGAUACUGCGAGACUAGAGUGAUGGAGGGGGAACCGGAAUUCUCGGUGUAGCAGUGAAAUGCGUAGAGAUCGAGAGGAACACUCGUGGCGAAGGCGGGUUCCUGGACAUUAACUGACGCUGAGGCACGAAGGCCAGGGGAGCGAAAGGGAUUAGAUACCCGUGUAGUC
rnacentral:rRNA from 1 species